GGGUAUUGUGUGCGGUCGGCCUCAAUGAGGUGUGUACUGUGUGGCAAGAUCCAUCUUUCCAGGGGUGUCGGUGGGUGAUUAAGUUCAUCUGCGUGUAUGCCGUUGGUCGUUUACUGUGAGCAAAAUAGAGUGUUCAAAGCAGGCUUAUGCCGUUGAAUACAUUAGCAUGGAAUAAUAAGAUAGGACCUUGUUCUAUUUUGUUGGUUAAUGGAGUAAGGUA
rnacentral:rRNA from 1 species